UACGGAGGGUGCGAGCGUUGUCCGGAAUCAUUGGGCGUAAAGGGCGCGUAGGUGGCCCGGUCAGUUCGUGGUGAAAGCGCGGGGCUCAACCCUGCGUCGGCCAUGAAUACUGCCGCGGCUGGAGCACUGUAGAGGCAGGCGGAAUUCCGGGUGUAGCGGUGGAAUGCGUAGAGAUCCGGAAGAACACCGGUGGCGAAGGCGGUCUGCUGGGCCAAGACUGACGCUGAGGCGCGACAGCGGUGGGGAGCAAACAGG
rnacentral:rRNA from 1 species